rnacentral:lncRNA from 1 species
CGUGUUUUGUAAACUUCUUUCUAGUGUUUGGUAAACUUCUUUUUAGUGUUUGGUAAACUUCUUUUUAGUGUUUGGUUAACUUCUUUUUCGUAUUUUGUAAACUUCUUGUUAGUGUUUUGCCAUAUCACUGUCAGUUUAUUUCGAACUGGUGCCCCUGACUGUACACUUAAAACAUUAACUUGAAUACACAAAACUUUAAAUAAAACAAAAAUGCUUGAAUGUCUGAAAA